rnacentral:rRNA from 1 species
UACAGAGGUCCCAAGCGUUGUUCGGAUUCACUGGGCGUAAAGGGUGCGUAGGUGGUGAGGUAAGUCGGAUGUGAAAGCUCGGAGCUCAACUCCGAAAUGGCAUUGGAAACUACCUUGCUCGAGGGUUGGAGGGGGGACUGGAAUGCUUGGUGUAGCAGUGAAAUGCGUAGAUAUCAAGCGGAACACCAGUGGCGAAGGUGAGUCCCUGGACAACUCCUGACACUGAGGCACGAAAGCUAGGGGAGCAAACAGG